rnacentral:tRNA from 1 species
GGAGAGGUGUCCGAGUCUGGCUUAAGGAGCACGCCUGGAAAGCGUGUAUACCCUAACGGGUAUCGGAGGUUCGAAUCCUCUCCUCUCCG